rnacentral:ribozyme from 1 species
UGACCAGCAAUUCCUAUCUCUAUUUCCUCGUGGCACCGGCCGGACUGUGAGCAACUUUUUGGGAAGAUCGGGAAAUCUACCCCAGUGCGAACUUUGGUCGUUUGCUGACUGGGAAGA